rnacentral:rRNA from 1 species
CUCCCCGAAAGCUAUUUAGGUAGCGCCUCGUGAAUUCAUCUCCGGGGGUAGAGCACUGUUUCGGCUAGGGGGCCAUCCCGGCUUACCAACCCGAUGCAAACUGCGAAUACCGGAGAAUGUUAUCACGGGAGACACACGGCGGGUGCUAACGUCCGUCGUGAAGAGGGAAACAACCCAGACCGCCAGCUAAGGUCCCAAAGUCAUGGUUAAGUGGGAAACGAUGUGGGAAGGCCCAGACAGCCAGGAUGUUGGCUUAGAAGCAGCCAUCAUUUAAAGAAAGCGUAAUAGCUCACUGGUCGAGUCGGCCUGCGCGGAAGAUGUAACGGGGCUAAACCAUGCACCGAAGCUGCGGCAGCGACGCUUAUGCGUUGUUGGGUAGGGGAGCGUUCUGUAAGCCUG